rnacentral:tRNA from 1 species
CGCGGAAUGCCAUAUUGUGCAGGCUUUCUGCAAGGUAUCAUAAUCCUUGUGUCGGGGGUUCGAAUCCCUCCUCCGCUACCA